GGAGUUUACAGCACAUAAUGCAGCUUCUAACAUGGGUAAUUUCUGUUGAUUAAGUGAAAGAUGUAAACAUAUAAAUCUACAUUGUCUCAAAUAUAUUUUGAAGUCAACGAAAUUUUAAGUUGGGAAGCAUACUGCUGAAGGUACAAAGUGAGUUGCUAGGCCACAUGCAAGCAUUUCUGCACCAUCCAAUCUGGCACCAGUAAGACCGAGAUACUCUCC